GGGAAGGUAGCUCAGUGGUAGAGUGCUUGCCUUGCAUGCAGGAGGCCCUGGGUUCGAUUCCUCAGCACCA
rfam:Dipodomys ordii contig_48596, whole genome shotgun sequence.